rnacentral:rRNA from 1 species
AGGCUUAACACAUGCAAGUCGAGCGCCCCGCAAGGGGAGCGGCAGACGGGUGAGUAACGCGUGGGAAUCUACCUUUUGCUACGGAAUAACGCAGGGAAACUUGUGCUAAUACCGUAUGUGUCCUUCGGGAGAAAGAUUUAUCGGCAAGAGAUGAGCCCGCGUUGGAUUAGCUAGUUGGUGGGGUAAAGGCCUACCAAGGCGACGAUCCAUAGCUGGUCUGAGAGGAUGAUCAGCCACAUUGGGCUUGAGACGCCCACCAA